UACCUACGGGGGGCAGCAGUGGGGAAUAUUGGGCAACGGGCGCAAGCCUGACCCAGCAAUGCCGCGUGAAGGAAGAAGGCUUUCGGGUUGUAAACUUCUUUGACAGGGGAAGAGCAGAAGACGGUACCCUGAAAACAAGCCACGGCUAACUACGUGCCAGCAGCCGCGGUAAUACGUAGGUGGCAAGCGUUAUCCGGAUUUACUGGGUGUAAAGGGCGUGUAGGCGGGGACGCAAGUCAGAUGUGAAAACCACGGGCUCAACCUGUGGCCUGCAUUUGAAACUGUGUUUCUUGAGUAC
rnacentral:rRNA from 1 species